UACGUAGGGCGCAAGCGUUGUCCGGAAUUAUUGGGCGUAAAGAGCUCGUAGGCGGUUUGUCGCGUCUGCUGUGAAAACCUAAGGCUCAACCUUGGGCUUGCAGUGGGUACGGGCAGACUAGAGUACUGCAGGGGAGACUGGAAUUCCUGGUGUAGCGGUGAAAUGCGCAGAUAUCAGGAGGAACACCGGUGGCGAAGGCGGGUCUCUGGGCAGUAACUGACGCUGAGGAGCGAAAGCGUGGGGAGCGAACAGG
rnacentral:rRNA from 1 species